rnacentral:sRNA from 1 species
AUGGCUGUCGUCAGCUCGUGUCGUGAGAUGUUGGGUUAAGUCCCGCAACGAGCGCAACCCUUACCAUUAAUUGCCAUCAUUUAGUUGGGCACUUUAAUGGGACUGCCGGUGACAAACCGGAGGAAGGUGGGGAUGACGUCAAGUCCUCAUGGCCCUUAUGGCCAGGGCUUCACACGUAAUACAAUGGUCGGUACAGAGGGUAGCCAACCCGCGAGGGGGAGCAAAUCCCAGAAAGCCGGUCGUAGUCCGGAUUGUUGUCUGCAACUCGACAGCAUGAAGUCGGAAUCGCUAGUAAUCGCGGAUCAGAAUGUCGCGGUGAAUACGUUCCCGGGCCUUGUACACACCGCCCGUCACACCAUGGGAGUGGGUUUUACCAGAAGUAGUUAGUCUGACCGUAAGGAGGACGAUUACCACGGUAGGAUUCAUGACUGGGGUGAAGUCGUAACAAGGUAGCCGUAUCGGAAGGUGCGGCUGGAUCACCUCCUUUCAAGAGAUCACCUCUUUAUAAGCAUUCACUCUUAUCAGUUGUUUUAGCACAAAGAAUUAAUUAAUUGACCCAUAAUGGGUCUGUAGCUCAGCUGGUUAGAGCACCGUGUUGAUAACGCGGGGGUCGUUGGUUCGAGCCCAACCAGACCCACCAAACAAAAUUUAUAUUUCCUACAGGGGGAUUAGCUCAGCUGGGAGAGCACCUGCUUUGCAAGCAGGGGGUCGUCGGUUCGAUCCCGAUAUCCUCCACCAAUUCUUUGUAUAAAAAAAGGUAAGCCUUAAGCGUUUAUUAAAUUAAAUGUUUAAGGCUAGCUUUUUAGCUAGUAUGUUCUUUAACAAUAUGGAAGAAGUAAAUUAGAAAUCAUAAGAUUGUGAUGAGAUUAUGAUUUCAAAUGGGUAAUGAUUGCAAAAUCAAAUACUAAAUCAACACUUUGCGUCUAAAUUUUAUAUUUAGAUAAAAAGAGUUUUUAAAGUAAGCUUUAGAAGAAACUAUAAUGACCGUCUCAUGCGGAAAAACGUAAGUAGAAAAGGGCUUAGGUUUUAAAGUUAUAGGAUCAAGUGAAUAAGUGCAUAUGGUGAAUGCCUUGGCGAUUACAGGCGAUGAAGGACGUGGUAGUCUGCGAAAUUUUUCGGGGAGCUGGCAAACAAGCUUUGAUCCGGAAGUGUCCGAAUGGGGAAACCCGG